ensembl:lncRNA LINC02052 long intergenic non-protein coding RNA 2052
AUUAUUCUAAGAGCCUGCUUUUAAAAAUUGGGUGUCAGAGCAAGCCCCGAGGGCAGCAGCUGUGGGCAGGCUGGAGGAAAUGGUCCCUGUUUAGGUGCUGCACUGGUCUCUGCAUGAUCAAUCCCAGCGCCCAGAACACCGAUAUCAAGGCCUUUGCCUGGCUCUUCUCCAGAUGGUUUUCUAUUGCAGGAGUUUUGCUGGCAGAGAGCUUAUGAAGAAACAGGCUUACAGAAGGCACGGCCAGGCUGCAGGGAUGACUGGGACCUGAAAACAGCCAGCAUCAUCAUUCUUGAAAGUUUGCUGACUUUCCUGUUUAGAAACGAGGCAUGUAUACGUAUUUAACAGUUCUCAGAAUGUCAAGGAUCCCUCCUCAGAGCAAGAGCUCGAAUUUACAAAAGAAGCACUACCUCCUUUAUCACAUAGUAAAAUAAAGGACCGUGUCUGCUCCAGGACAUGGCUGGUUACAAUUUUGUUUUAAAGAAAUCACCAGAGAAACCUGAGAUUCCAACCCAGCCUUUUGUUUGCCUGGGAUUAUAGCCCAGUUCUUACAAGCAGAGAAGCCUAGGACACUAACCCAGCUUCAAGAGUAUACUCAGAAUCUCAAGAAUCACAAUCUGUGCUGCCCAUUCUUCAACAGACUGUCAUCUGGAGGCCUGGAUUGGAUCAGGAGUCGGGCUCACCAAUGGAGCCCCAAUCAGUCAGUCAGGAGUGAAGAUGAAAGCUUCAAAGGCAUUGAUGACUCACUUCUCACUUGAGUCCAGACCCAUCUGGAUUGCCUGCAAAAAGGUCUCGGCAGUGACCUGAAAACAUAUGUAAAUUACCCAACCAAUUCUAACCAGGACCUGCUGUCUGGCAAUUCAUCCCCAUGUUCUAGACUUGUCCAACAAGCACCCAAGCAACUUUGAGUUCCAUCCUGCAACUCUCAGUCAGGCUCAAGAAAAGCCCCAAUUUUAUCUGGGCAUGGUGACACAUGACUGUAAUCCCAGCUACUCGGGAGGCUGAGGCAGUUGAAUCGCUUGAACCCAGGAAGCGAAGGCUGCAGUGAGCCGAGAUCAUGCCACUGCACUCCAGCCUGGGCAACACAGCGAGACUGUCUCAAAAUAAAAUUAAAAUUAAAUUUUUUAAAAAG